GCAGGCUGCAACUCGCCUGCAUGAAGUCGGAAUCGCUAGUAAUCGCGGAUCAGCACGCCGCGGUGAAUACGUUCCCGGGCCUUGUACACACCGCCCGUCACACCACGGAAGUUGGGAGUACCCAAAGUAGGUUGCCUAACCGCAAGGAGGGCGCUUCCUAAGGUAAGACCGAUGACUGGGUGAAGUCGUAACAAGGUAUC
rnacentral:rRNA from 1 species